rnacentral:rRNA from 1 species
UACGUAGGGGGCAAGCGUUGUCCGGAAUCAUUGGGCGUAAAGCGUGCGUAGGCGGCCCGAUAAGUCUGCUGUAAAAGUCAACGGCUCAACCGUUGAAAGCCGGUGGAUACUGUCGGGCUAGAGUCCGGAAGAGGCAAGUGGAAUUCCUGGUGUAGCGGUGGAAUGCGCAGAUAUCAGGAGGAACACCUAUAGCGAAGGCAGCUUGCUGGGACGGUACUGACGCUAAGGCACGAAAGCGUGGGGAGCGAACAGG